UACAGGGGGUGCAAACGUUGUUCGGAAUCAUUGGGCGUAAAGCGCACGUAGGCGGUCUGUUAUGUCGGAUGUGAAAGCCCUUGGCUUAACUGAGGAAGUGCAUCCGAAACUGGCAGGCUAGAGUACUAAAGAGGGUCGCGGAAUUCCCGGUGUAGAGGUGAAAUUCGUAGAUAUCGGGAGGAAUACCAGUGGCGAAGGCGGCGACCUGGGCCAAUACUGACGCUGAGGUGCGAAAGCGUGGGGAGCAAACAGG
rnacentral:rRNA from 1 species